GUGCUCACUUCAGGGGCAUAUAUACUAAAAUUGGAACAAUACAGAGAAGAUUAGCAUAGCCCCAUGCGCAAGGAUGACAUGCAAAUUCAUGAAGUACCAUAUUUUA